CCCUUAGGGGAUGGACAAGAAUGCUAGUCGAGUGAUUCAGGCAAAACGAGUCACGGCACACAGCUCAGUAACACGUGGCUAAUCUGCCCUUAGGACGAGAACAACCCCGGGAAACUGGGGCUAAUUCUCGAUAGGCGAAGAACUCCGGAAUGAGUCUUUACCUAAAUAAUGCAACGUUAUCCUCGUUGCAUCGCCUAAGGAUGAGGCCGCGACCGAUCAGGUUGUUGGCGAGGUAAUGGCUCACCAAGCCUUUUACCGGUGCGGGCCGUGAGAGCGGGAGCCCGGAGAUGGGCACUGAGACAAGGGCCCAGGCCCUACGGGGCGCAGCAGUCGCGAAAACUUUGCAAUAAGCGAAAGCUUGACAGGGCUAUCCCGAGUGCCAUCCGCUGAGGAAGGCUUUUACCCAGUCUAGAACGCUGGGGGAAUAAGGAGAGGGCAAGUCUGGUGUCAGCCGCCGCGGUAAUACCAGCUCUCCGAGUGGUGUGGAUGUUUAUUGGGCCUAAAGCAUCCGUAGCUGGCUAGGUCAGUCCCUUGUUAAAUCCACCGAAUUAAUCGUUGGAUUGCGGGGGAUACUGCUUGGCUAGGGGACGAGAGAGGCAGACGGUAUUUUCGGGGUAGGGGUGAAAUCCUAUAAUCCCGGGAAGACCACCAGUGGCGAAGGCUGUCUGCUAGAACGCGCCCGACGGUGAGGGAUGAAAGCUGGGGGAGCGAACCGGAUUAGAUACCCGGGUAGUCCCAGCUGUAAACGAUGCAGACUAGGUGUUUGGACGGCCACGUGCCGUUCUAGUGCCGCAGGGAAGCUGUUAAGUCUGCCGCCUGGGGGAGUACGAUCGCAAGAUUGAAACUUAAAGGAAUUGGCGGGGGAGCACCACAAGGGGUGAAGCUUGCGGUUUAAUUGGAUUCAACGCCGGG
rnacentral:rRNA from 1 species